UACGUAGGGGGCAAGCGUUGUCCGGAAUUAUUGGGCGUAAAGAGCUCGUAGGCGGCUUGUCACGUCGGGUGUGAAAGCCCGGGGCUUAACCCCGGGUCUGCAUUCGAUACGGGCAGGCCAGAGUGUGGUAGGGGAGAUCGGAAUUCCUGGUGUAGCGGUGAAAUGCGCAGAUAUCAGGAGGAACACCAGCGGCGAAGGCGGCGCUCUGGGCCGGUACUGACACUGAGGAGCGAAAGCGUGGGUAGCAAACAGG
rnacentral:rRNA from 1 species